rnacentral:rRNA from 1 species
AGCAGCCGCGGUAAUUCCAGCUCCAAUAGCGUAUAUUAAAGUUGUUGCAGUUAAAAAGCUCGUAGUUGAAUUUCGGGAUUAGUAAGUUGGUCGUGCCUCCGGUAUGUACUGGCUCUACUGGUUCCUCCUUCUUGAAGAACUGUAAUGUCAUUAAUUUGGUGUUGCAGGGAAACAGGACUGUUACUUUGAAAAAAUUAGAGUGUUUAAAGCAGGCCAACGCUUGAAUACAUUAGCAUGGAAUAAUGAAAUAGGACGUUUGAUCCUAUUUUGUUGGUUUCUAGGAUUGACGUAAUGAUUAAUAGGGAUAGUUGGGGGCAUUAGUAUUCAAUUGUCAGAGGUGAAAUUCUUGGAUUUAUUGAAGACUAACUACUGCGAAAGCAUUUGCCAAGGAUGUUUUCAUUAAUCAAGAACGAAGUUAGGGGAUCGAAGACGAUCAGAUACCGUCGUAGUCUUAACCAUAAACUAUGCCGACUAGGGAUCGGAUGAUGUUAAUUUUUUAAUGACUCAUUCGGCGCCUUAC